AUUGAACGCUGGCGGCAGGCUUAACACAUGCAAGUCGAGCGGAAACGAUGAUAGCUUGCUAUCAGGCGUCGAGCGGCGGACGGGUGAGUAAUACUUAGGAAUCUACCUAGUAGUGGGGGAUAGCACGGGGAAACUCGUAUUAAUACCGCAUACGACCUACGGGAGAAAGGGGGCAGUUUACUGCUCUCGCUAUUAGAUGAGCCUAAGUCGGAUUAGCUAGAUGGUGGGGUAAAGGCCUACCAUGGCGACGAUCUGUAGCUGGUCUGAGAGGAUGAUCAGCCACACCGGGACUGAGACACGGCCCGGACUCCUACGGGAGGCAGCAGUGGGGAAUAUUGGACAAUGGGGGAAACCCUGAUCCAGCCAUGCCGCGUGUGUGAAGAAGGCCUUUUGGUUGUAAAGCACUUUAAGCAGUGAAGAAGACUCCGUGGUUAAUACCCACGGACGAUGACAUUAGCUGCAGAAUAAGCACCGGCUAACUCUGUGCCAGCAGCCGCGGUAAUACAGAGGGUGCAAGCGUUAAUCGGAAUUACUGGGCGUAAAGGGAGCGUAGGUGGCUCUAUAAGUCAGAUGUGAAAUCCCCGGGCUCAACCUGGGAACUGCAUCUGAAACUGUAGAGCUAGAGUGUGUGAGAGGAAGGUAGAAUUCCAGGUGUAGCGGUGAAAUGCGUAGAGAUCUGGAGGAAUACCGAUGGCGAAGGCAGCCUUCUGGCAUAAUACUGACACUGAGGCUCGAAAGCGUGGGUAGCAAACAGG
rnacentral:rRNA from 1 species